rnacentral:rRNA from 1 species
UACGUAGGGUGCGAGCGUUGUCCGGAAUUAUUGGGCGUAAAGAGCUUGUAGGCGGUCUGUCGCGUCUGCUGUGAAAUCCCGAGGCUCAACCUCGGGUCUGCAGUCGAUACGAGCAAACUAGAGUGUUGCAGGGGAGACUGGAAUUCCUGGUGUAGCGGUGAAAUGCGCAGAUAUCAGGAGGAACACCGGUGGCGAAGGCGGCAUCCUGGACCGGCAUUGACGCUGAGGCGCGAAAGCUAGGGGAGCAAACGGG